rnacentral:rRNA from 1 species
GAGUUUGAUCCUGGCUCAGGAUGAACGCUGGCGGCGUGCCUAAUACAUGCAAGUCGAGCGAACAGACGAGGAGCUUGCUCCUCUGACGUUAGCGGCGGACGGGUGAGUAACACGUGGAUAACCUACCUAUAAGACUGGGAUAACUUCGGGAAACCGGAGCUAAUACCGAAUAAUAUAUUGAACCGCAUGGUUCAAUAGUGAAAAACGGUUUUGCUGUCACUUAUAGAUGGAUCCGCGCCGCAUUAGCUAGUUGGUAGGGUAACGGCUUACCAAGGCGACGAUGCGUAGCCGACCUGAGAGGGUGAUCGGCCGCACUGGAACUGAGACACGGUCCAGACUCCUACGGGAGGCAGCAGUAGGGAAUCUUCCGCAAUGGGCGAAAGCCUGACGGAGCAACGCCGCGUGAGUGAUGAAGGUCUUCGGAUCGUAAAACUCUGUUAUUAGGGAAGAACAAAUGUGUAAGUAACUAUGCACGUCUUGACGGUACCUAAUCAGAAAGCCACGGCUAACUACGUGCCAGCCG